rnacentral:sRNA from 13 species
GUCAACCACUCCCCCUAAGCCCUGGUGGGCUGUAGGCGGAGCUUGUGGGGAAGCUCACAGGCUCCUGGUUGACCAGGCUCAGUCCCGGAAUCCGGGGCUACGUUGGUUAGGUCAGGACACCCUGGGAUGCGUGUGCCAGUUCCAGGCUCUGUC